rnacentral:rRNA from 1 species
CAAUAGCGUAUAUUAAAGUUGUUGCAGUUAAAAAGCUCGUAGUUGGAUUUCUGGUGGGAGCGAUCGGUCUGGCGCUUAGCGCGAGUACUUGCAUCGUCUCCGGCCAUCCUUGGGGAGAGUCUGUCUGGCAUUAGGUUGUCGGGCAGAGGAUCCUCAUCGUUUACUGUGAAAAAAUUAGAGUGUUCAAAGCAGGCUUAUGCCGUUGAAUAUAUUAGCAUGGAAUAAUAAGAUAGGACUUUGGUACUAUUUUGUCGGUUUGCGCACCAAAGUAAUGAUUAAUAGGGACAGUUGGGGGUAUUCGUAUUCCGUUGUCAGAGGUGAAAUUCUUGGAUUACGGAAGACGAACUACUGCGAAAGCAUUUACCAAGGAUGUUUUCAUUAA